AAAUACCUAGAAAUAACAGAUGUUCAACAUUACACAAAGACUCUAUUUCAUAUACAUACUAAAUAAAAAUACUAAUAUAAAUAUAGUUAAAUUUACAAUAUCUAAUAAAUUUACAAGGUGUAAGAUAUUAAAAUAUCUAGAAAUAAAAUAGAAUUUAAAUAUGAUGCAAAGUCAAGUGUCAAUAUGUUACACAUACUACAAAUGAUAAAUAAAAUACUAUAAAAUAUAGCUAGGUUUAUAAUAUCCAAUAAAUUUAUAUGAAGCAAUAAUAUAUAAAAAUACCUAGAAAUAGCAGAAUUUCAACAUUACACAAAGUCUCAAUAUAACACAUAUACUAUACAUAAUUUAAAAAAAUAUAAAAUACUAUAAAAUAUAGCUAGAUUUCUAAUAGCUAAUAAAUUUACAUGAAGCAAUAACAUACAAAAAUAUCUAGAAAUAAUAGAAUUUCAGUAUCAAUUUUAUAUAUACACUAAAUAAACAUAAUAAUAUAAAAUAUAGUUAAAUUUGUAUCUAAUAAAUUUAUAUGAAGUAACAAAAAAUUAAAAUAUCUAGAAAUAACAGAACUUAAAUAGUAUGCAAAGUCAAGUCUCAAUAUAUUACAUAUACUACAAAUUAUAAAAAAUAAUAUAAAAUACUAUGAAAUAAAGCUAGAUUUCUAAUAGCUAAGAAAUUUACAUGAAGCAAUAAAAUAUAAAAAUACCUAGAAUAGAAUUUCAAAGUCACACAAAGUAUCAAUUUAACACAUAUACUAAAUAAAAAUAAUAAUAUCAAAUAUAGCAAAAUUUAUAAUAAAUGUAUAAUAUCUAUAAAAUUUACAUGAAGCUAUAAUAUAUAUAAAAUACCUGGAAAUAACAGAAUUUCAGCUUUACAUAGAGUAUCCAUUUAAUACAUAUACUAAAUAAAAAUAAUAAUCUAAAAUAUAGCUAAAUGUAUCUUAAUGUAUAAAUCUAAUUAAUUUAUAUGAAGUAAUAAUUUAUAAAAUACCUAGAAAUAACAGAAUUUCAGUAUUACACAGAGUACCCAUUCAAUCCAUAUAAUAAUAAAAUAAUAAUCUAAAAUAUAGCUAGAGGUAUAAUACUCUAUAAUCUCCAAUAAACUUAGCUGAGGCAGUAAUUUCUGAAAUGAGAACCCAGCAGGCCCAGGCUGGCCCAGGUGUGAGCGCUGCGGUUCCCAGGUGUGAGCGCUGCCGUUCCCAGUUGUGAGCGCUGCCGUUCCCAGGUGUGAGCGCUGCCGUUCCCCAGGUGUGAGCGCUGCCGUUCCCCGGUGUGAGCGCUGCCGUUCCCAGGUGUGAGCGCUGCCGUUCCCCAGGUGUGAGCGCUGCCGUUCCCGGGUGUGAGCGCUGCGGUUCCCAAGUGUGAGCGCUGCCGUUCCCGGGUGUGAGCGCUGCCGUUCCCAGGUGUGAGCGCUGCCGUUCCCAGGUGUGAGCGCUGCCGUUCCCAGCUGUGAGCGCUGCCGUUCCCCGGUGUGAGCGCUGCCGUUCCCAGGUGUGAGCGCUGCCGUUCCCAGCUGUGAGCGCUGCCGUUCCCCGGUGCGAGCGCUGCCGUUCCCAGGUGUGAGCGCUGCCGUUCCCCAGGUGCGAGCGCUGCCGUUCCCCAAGUGUGAGCGCUGCCGUUCCCGGGUGUGAGCGCUGCCGUUCCCGGGUGUGAGCGCUGCCGUUCCCGGGUGUGAGCGCUGCCGUUCCCAGGUGUGAGCGCUGCCGUUCCCCAGGUGUGAGCGCUGCCGUUCCCAGGUGUGAGCGCUGCCGUUCCCCAGGUGUGAGCGCUGCCGUUCCCCGGUGUGAGCGCUGCCGUUCCC